GAUGAACGCUAGCGAUAGGCUUAACACAUGCAAGUCGAGGGGCAGCGCGGGUAGCAAUACCUGUCGGCGACCGGCGCACGGGUGAGUAACGCGUAUGUAACCUGCCCGCAACAGGGGGAUAACCCGGCGAAAGUCGGACUAAUACCGCAUAAAACAGGGGUCCCGCAUGGGAAUAUUUGUUAAAGAUUUAUCGGUUGCGGAUGGGCAUGCGUACCAUUAGGUAGUUGGUGAGGUAACGGCUCACCAAGCCUUCGAUGGUUAGGGGUUCUGAGAGGAAGGUCCCCCACACUGGUACUGAGACCCGGACCAGACUCCUACGGGAGGCAGCAGUGAGGAAUAUUGGUCAAUGGGCGAGAGCCUGAACCAGCCAAGUCGCGUGAAGGAUGACUGCCCUAUGGGUUGUAAACUUCUUUUACAAGGGAAUAAAAUGAGAUACGUGUAUUUUAUUGCAUGUACCUUGGGAAUAAGCAUCGGCUAACUCCGUG
rnacentral:rRNA from 1 species